CUCCAUCUUUGCACGUUUGUUGGCCCGGCAAGGCGGAAAUGGUGGCGUAGUAGGUUUUUUGUGUUUUUUUUUUUUCCCCCCCUCCAUCCCCUCCCGCCCACAGGGUUGGGGUUUCUGGCUGUGAGUGAGGUUUCUGGAAAUCUCUGUGGAAAGUUAAUGGUAUCUCUCCUCUACAGGGCUAAGAGGAGUCCCAGGCUUGAUAACACGCUGAACAAAGACCUGUCAUGGAACAGACUCUUGCUGAGAUUUAAACUGGAGAGUUUGUGGAUGUGGAGCUGGGCCAGGAUACACAGAGAAAUGUGGGGGAAGAGGGAAGUCACUGAGAAGAAUCAAGAGAUCUUGGUGCUGCUCUCAUUUGCUGUGUGAUGCUGAUCAAGCAACAUAUUGUCUUUAGGAAUCCUGUUAUAAAAUUUGUCCAACAGAACCUACCUCGCAGAAUUACAGAGAAGAAAAAGAAGAGAGUUCUAUAAACCUGAAGAGCGAUCUUUUCAAAAAAUCAUCAGAAGGAAGGAAUUUGUAGAAAUAAAACUGGAAACAUCCAGAAUCUUGAUGGUGUGCCAAACCAAAUGUCAACUGGAGCUCGACCAAAAACUAAAGUAAGUAGCUUUCUUACAGAAUAUUCCGGGUGGAGUGCCAUGCCCCACUCAUGCCAUGAAGAGAGUGCCACAUUUGCACAUUCUCUUUUACUUUUUGUGUUUUAAAUUAAACGUUAACGUUGUCCUGUUUUUCAUUAUAUCAUGAUUUGUAAUGAAAAACAUACAGUUAAUAUUUAUAAAAUUGGGAAAAAAGGAGGGUGUGACUUUGUUAAGAUAAAAUGAUUAGUCUUUUGUGAUGAGUAGAGUCAUUAGCAGUGGAUUGUAUGCACUUCAAUUAGUUUCUUCACUAUGGGUGAAAAUUCCUGCCAAAGCUGAAGAUCUCCUUGAACUAUUAUUACAAAAGUCUUCCUAUUAUGACAGUAUACACCUCAGUGAUCAGGGUUCCAGAAAAGAGGUGUCAGAUUGGGGACUAUACCUGCAAAACAUUAGCUCUAAACAUUAUAUGUACUUUGUUUAAAAGGUCUACCAAGAUAAAUAAUACCCAGGAAUUUGUGUGUGUGUGUUUGGUAUGUUUUUAAUGAGGAAACAUUGACCAGCCAUUCUUAUAGAUACUUUACAACUUUUAAUCAUCUUUAAAAUUUUUUUCCAAAUCUGAGUUUUUCUUUUUCACAUUUUUUAGUUGAAUCCAAAAGUACAUCUUCAUAAAUUCUGAAGCGUUAGAUACAGAGGGAUUUUAGUAAUAACUUGCAAGAUUUUAUAGAAUUGCUUACAGUUUUUGAUUCUAUGAUUCCAUGACUGCCUUACAGUGUGAAAGAGUAAUAAUAAUUUAGUAAGUAAAUAUGAAGAGCAAAUAUUAUGUGUCUUCCUGGCAGGAAGCAGCAGAAACUUUCUAAAUUACUUCAAAAGAGAUACCUUAAAAGAUUACUUACAAAAGUUUGGGCAAGGUUAAGGGAAAUCAACAACUGUAAGGUGGUUGCCCCGCAAGAUCUUUGGCCUUGGAAGAGGAAUGCAGCUACAGCAAGACCCCAUCUGACAGAGGAGAGGUGGAGGGAGAGAGCCUGCCGUCUCUCUCCCUCCCAGCUUCUACCCUUUCGGAAAAUUAGCUGAACUCAUCAGGACACCAGGAGGGCAGGAGGGAAGGGCACUCACUUACUGUGUUCUUCGGCAACUGAGCCCCACAAAGGAAGAUGGAAAAGAGCAGGGAGUAGUUUUAGAGGGUCAAAUAGAAAAUAUUUGGCACACCUUAAAAAGAGAGUUGUCAGCUACCAUUCUUAAAUAUGUAAUAUGUUCCAGGCACAGUGCUAAGCUC
rnacentral:lncRNA from 1 species